rnacentral:lncRNA from 1 species
CAUCUCAUUAACUAGUUUUAACCAUGUUUGCAAAAAAAUCACAAAUUCACUACAAGCUGUCUUCCUGAGCAACAGUCACUAAAUUAUUUAUAACUGGAGCUAAGAAACUCCAAAUCAAGUGCCGUUAAUUUUCCCUGAAAAUAGACUCACAUAUCUUCCAUCCAUCAAAUUUUCAAAAUUUUUGGUUUGACCAAUCAAUACCAGAUUUUUAUUGAAGUUUCUUCUGUUUCACUGUUUGACUAUUCUGACUACUCUUCACUACAAAUCAAUUUUAUCAUUAUACAGAAUUCAAAUUAUGUUAUCGUUUAUUUCAUUUGAAACUAGACUCAUUAAGGAGUCUAAGUAUAUAAAUUUUAUCUUAUAAUCAUCAUUGUACAAUUUACAAUGAUUUUCUAAAAACAGAACAGGGGAUUUCAAGGUUAUUUUGACUCUAUCCUACGCCACUUCAAAUAUCUCAUUAUCUACAAUUCUUUUGCUUACAAAGUUUCUUUUAUAAGAAACUAGACUCAUUAAGCUUUAAUUACAUAAUUUAUUCAGCUUCUAAUUCAAUUUCUACAAUUUAUGGUGAUUUUCCAAAAUCACGCUACUGUUGCUAUCCCAAGCAGAUUUAUUACAAUUUGCUCUUUCACACAUUCCUUGCAUUUAAAUUAUCUAAACAUGUAUAUCAUGUCAUUCAAGAUCGAACUCAAAUAACAUAGGCAUUAAAAUGCUUCACUAACAGCUUUAGUUUCAUUGAAGCGAAUAAAAUACAAAAUCAUAUUCACAUUUAAUUUUCCACGAUCGUAAUCACCUAAAAAUAAAUCAUAUACUUCCACAAAUCUUUCCACAAGGACCAAGUGUUUAUAUUUGAAUAUAAACAUAGAAUCACUUCACAUAACUACACACAUUUACCGAAUAUAUCACGAUCACAUAUAUAGUCAUAACACUUAUUCACAGAUGCAUCACUUUAUAUACUUAUAAUUUAAUUCAAAUCAAAUCACAUACGAGUACAUGAUACGUACCUGACCAACUUAAUAUGUAAUGCACUUUCAAUUUGUCAACUUAGUGUAGGAUCUUGUAAUUGUAUACUUUUAUCAAAUUCAUCGGCACUUGGCCUGCUAGGUAUAAAACCCAAAAUUAUGUUACCAGCACGAAUACAUUUCCAGCACGAAGCCUGCGGGACUUUAGCCCGGAUACAUUUCCAGCACGAAGCCUGCGGGACUUUAGCCCGGAUACAUUUCCAGCACGAAGCCUGCGGGACUUUAGCCCGGAUACAUUUCCAGCACGAAGCCUGCGGGUCUUUAGCCCUGAUACAUUUCCAGCACGAAGCCUGCGGGUCUUUAGCUCGGAUACAUUUCCAGUGUCUUGCUUAUUUAUUCACAUGUUAACACAUUUCACAUAACAUAUCACAUUAGCAAUUCAAUUGCUUCAUUCGAAUAUAAGCACAAAAUGUACACCUACCCUUUAACUUUCGGUUCAAUAAUCAUACACAAGGAACACAAAUGUCGGAAUCCUGUGUCAUGACAUAUGUAUCCUAACUAUUCCUAAGAUUCAUACAGGGCUUUCGAACGUCGUAACUCGGUUGAAUCGAAAGCUCGAACAUAGUUUUCAAACUCAUAAACAUUCGGCAUUUACAAGUAUAAAUUCAUAUAUUAUAUACCAGCAUAUAUACUUAACAUUUAACUACAUUUAGGCAUGUGUAUUUGCUUAUAAACUUACCUCAGACGUCGUAAAACGGGACGGAGCUGCUAGUCGACAACUUUCGUUUUUCCCUAGUCCAAAUCCGAUUUCUUUGGUUCUUGAUCUAAAAAUAUUCAAAUUAAGCUCAUUCAAACAUAUUUUCAUUCAAUUUAGUUCAAAAACACAUAAAUGAGAAAAUUACCAUUUUACCCCUGACAUUUACAAUUUUUACAAUUUAAUCCCUAUUGCACAAAACACAAAAUAUACAAAAUUUCAAUAUACCCAUGUUGGGCCGAAUUUUACCCAUACCCAUACAAGUCCAUAUAUUUCAUCAAUUUCAUAUUUUAGUCUCUCAAAUUUUUAUUUUUGCAAUUAAGUCCUAAUUACUCAAAAUCAUCAAAAAUUCCAAUACAAAAAUAUGUUAACCCAACACCUAUCUUUCAUAUUUCACCAUCAAACCAUAAAAAUCACAAGCUUCCAUCAAUGGCAUAACUCAAAAUAUUCAUCAAAAUUCAAAUUUUAAGCAUGGGUUUUGAAGUACUCGAAGCAACGAUCUCAAAAACGUAAAAAUUAUCAAAAACCGACAAAGAACGAACCUUGGAUUUGAGCUUGGUAGUUGGCCGAACCUAAGCUUCCCUUAUUUCUUUUUCUUUUCUUUUGUUUCGGCAUGGGUGAAAUAAAACAUAUGCCCACUCAUAUUUUACUUUAUAAUAUCUUUUAUAUUAUAAAGCUUAUAAUUUUUAGUUUUUACAUUUGAAAUAAUAAUAAAAUCAUAUAAUAUAUAUAUCCUUUACCAACCAAACAAUAAGCUAAUGCACAUGAUAUGGCUUUCACGUUUAUGUCUUAUAAUAUAUAUUACACCUUAAUAUAAAAUAAUAUUUAAUUUACACACAUAUAUAUCUUUAAUAAAAUAUUAUAAAACCAUAUGGUAUAUACUUACCACCGUCCCACUAGUAAUCAAAUGACUAAUUACAACUUAAAUACUUCAAUUUAAAAAGCCACUAACAAUUCGGCCCUUAUACUAUAAACCAUCAAAUUUUCUUUUUACAUGAUUAAGUCCUUUUAUUUAAUCGGAUACCCAAACGAUAAAAUUAAAAUACGAAAAUUUUACAGAUAUAAAUUCACACAUAAUAAACACAUAAAAUAAUUUUUAAAUAUUUUUUCUGGCUCGGAUAUGUGAUCCCGAAACCACUGUUCCAAAUAGGGUCUAAACUGGGCUGUAACAACUCUCCCCCCUUUAGGGAUUUUUGUCCCCAAAAAUCUUACCAAAAAGUAGAGUAAAGGAUUUUCUUCCACAUAGUACAUUACUAAUUCACACAUGAUUUCGAAUUUCAUAUUUCUUUAAUCUCUCAAGUAAGAUCCUGAUCUGUCUUUUGCUAUACAUCAUAUCUAACUGAACUAUUUAUAACCAUAUUGAAUUACCUUCAUUUUCUGCUCAAUUUCUCUGAUAACAUUAAUCACGCGGAUCAUUACCUCAUAAAACUCGAUCUUGAAACAAUAGAGUUCGAUAACUGCAACCAUACAAUACCUUAUAUUAUGUCAUUAAUAUAAUCACACGAUAGCUUAUCGAACAACAAUAGUCUUUCUUUGUUGCCUUCAAACUCUUAUACGUUGACAAAACAUAGUUUCGAGAAUUUUUUUUUACGCCACAAUCUCGUACUCAAAGCUUACAGUAAUUUCUUCCAGAAUCACAAUAUAACUUCUAGAUUUCAAUCUGAAACAAAGUUAGAUGAGCACCACGUGCAAACUGACAAUCCUUGAAAUGAAUAACUCAACUGAUUUAUUAAAAGAGAAAUCCAUGCAUACGGAAAGACUUAUUUAGACAGCCAUCGAUAAUUCAGAUAACAUCUAUAUUUUUCUAAGGUAAAGAUAACCCCAAUACAUAAUUGAUCAACACUCUAUUUCUAUAAUCAACAAAGUCAGGAAUACCAUAUUUCACAUUCAUUCAAUGAUAUCACAUCUCAAAUUGUUGUGCAUCUUGUUAAUCCCGUAUUAACAGACAAACUACCACUGAGAGUUUCUUGUAGUAGUUGUUACAUAAUCAUAGAGCUUUUCAGUAUACAAACUCUAUCUCGAACUAACAAUUAAUCUUCUAUUCCACAUCUAAGGUUCUAAAUCAGAAAUCAAUUUGUGUUGUACCCCUUUUUAACUUAUAAUUCGCUGACACAUUUCUGAAUUUCACAACUUUGCUAAAUAGACAUUUAUUUAGCUUCAAAUCCAGCUAAGUCAAUCACGUAUUCAUCGCUCGUAAAACACACAAAAAUUUCCCAUUCAAAACUUCCGAAACUAUAAUCAUAAUCACUUACAGACUCAAAAGUUUUUCGACGAUUCGAGCUAGCGUUGCUAUGCUAAGUUCAAAUCUUUCUCUGACAUUAAACUUUCUAAACUCUUAUAGUCAUCACAUAUGUCACAUAACUCUUUAAUCUCACGAGUCAAAAUGCGAAUCGGUUCUUCUUCGUAGGUCAUAUUAGGCUAAAUUUCAAUCUCAGACGGACUAAUCACAUGAUUGUCGGUCGUAAAACACAUAAAGAUUCUCGCUCAGAACCCCAAAGACUAUAAUCAUUUGCCCAGAUUGAUAAUCAAUCACUGACUCAUAAUCUUACAACAGUUCGAACCAUCUUUAAUUCUUGUGUCGAAUAACUCUUUACCUGAGAACUGGCGCUUCAAUAACAAUUUCUUCAACUGUUUAUCACUUUAUUGAUAAAUAUCACAUCAUUUAAAAGAUAUUUUUCACAGAUAACCAUAUAGAAUCAUAAGAAAGAAGAGAUACUGUAAUCUCAAAUAUAUCACUAUACUGAUCUUUUUAAGAAAGCGCCCAUAUCAGAUGACAAAUAUCUCAGUGAUGUCUUAGAGGAAAUCCAUAAGUAAAACAUCACUCACAUGUACCAGAAUUAACGGUAACAGAAACAAUAUAAUCUUCAUGUAUACUAAGUAGAUCAAAAACUAGUAGGAUCAAAAUACCAACAUCACACAGAUUCUAUCGUAGAUCCUUUCUUUCAAUAAAAUGAAAUAGGAUACCAGAGAAAGAUAUAAUAAUGUCAAUUGUAACCCGAACAGCCCAACAAUGCUUUCAUAUAUCAAUAUAUAUAGAUGACGUUCUCAUAUGAUAAGAAUUUUCAUUUGAAAUAUACAGUUACACAUACCUCUGAAGAUAAAUGUACACAUAGAAUGCCUAGAAGAAAACGUAGUAACUACCCGACUAUAAUCACUGCACUCAGCUAUCAUUUCAAUUCAAACAUUAUCCUACUGUCUAAUUCUAUCAUCACCGAUUUCACAAUAUUCCAUUACUAACAGAAAUCAAUUCAGAAAUACUUCCAGUUAAUACGUUCUUUAGACAUCAUACCUGAAUACUUUCAUCUCAUCGAAUUCAACUUCUUCUUUAACAGUGAAUUGGCAUAUUACGAAUGGCCUUCAACAUGAUCCAAUAUCUUUUCUGUUACUGUCUUCACUUGUGGACUCAUUCUCUUAUCUGAUCACAAUACUAAUCUUUCAACCACGAAACUUUGUAAUUUCGCACUCGUAAGCGUAUUUAAUCCAUAUAGUACGGAUCUCAUUACAAUGCUUUACCGAUGAGGGGGUGAGGGUUGUAAAGCCAACAAUUUUAACUCUUACGUAAGCAUGCACAUCACACAUACUAUUAUGAACGAACAGUUCAUUACUAAUUCUGUAUUCUCAAACAUCUAGCAAUCAUUUAUUUAUGAUCACUUGGUACUUAACACAUAGCUCAUACGCUAAUUCAAAUCAUAAAUUCUAAGUCAAAAUAUUCACACAACCAUCAUAUACCCGACAUCACAACUCAUAUACUCGUAUAAUUAUAACAUUUAUCAAUAGUAGAAUAUCAUGCAUUCUGAUUCAUACCUUUUAUGAGUUUCAACUCAUCACCAACACAUUUUCACUCAAACGUUUGAGUAUAACAUUCUAUACUAUCAGAAUUAGCUCGGUUGGAAAGAAUAUCUGUCUUACAAAACAAUUUCAUUAGAGCCGGGAGAUGUCACAGUAUCACGAGUAGUAAUAUGGCAUGUAUAGCUAGACUCACAUAUGCUAGGUUAGUCCGAGAAUCGACUAAACCAUAGCUCUGAUACCACUAAAUGUAACACUCCUAACCCGAAUCCGUUGCCGGAACAAGGUUAUAAGGUAUUACUUGACUGAACAAAACUUCUAUAAGGUCAGAGAUACUUACCAGGCAUAAAUUAUCAACACAUUAGUUCAAUUAUAAGGCUUCUCUAAACAAAAUGAGCAAGCCAUCUUCGCAUGGCUAUAAUGUAUACAAAGUCAAAAUAUCAUUUUACCUAUAGUCUAUCCUAUACAUGCCUUAAACCAUGAUGAUAUACAAUUUUCUCAACUCACAUAAUGACUCGAUAGUGUGAUGAUAUCUCCGGCUCUUCCAACUCGAACUAAAGGAUAAACCUAUAAGAAAUGGAAAAGAGAACACGGAGUAAGCUUCAAUACUUAGUAAGUUUUAAGCAAUGCAAACAAUUAAUUUACUUAUAGACCAAUUAUUUCAAAUUUUCAAGAAAUCAUUCCUAGGUAAUUGCCAUUUUGGCCAAGUAUCCAUGAACAUAAUGCAUAUUUAGCAAAUUCAUCUCACUUGAAUCUGAACUCAAUUAAAACCAAAUAUUCAAUUCACAAAUAAGAUCAUAAGAACUCGAAAAGCAUCUCAUUAACUAGUUUUAACCAUGUUUGCAACAAAAUCACAAAUUCACUACAAGCUGUCUUCUUGAGCAACAGUCACUAAAUUAUUUAUAACUGGAGCUAAGAAACUCCAAAUCAAGUGCCGUUAAUUUUCCCUGAAAAUAGACUCACAUAUCUUCCAUCCAUCAAAUUUUCAAAAUUUUUGGUUUGACCAAUCAAUACCAGAUUUUUAUUGAAGUUUCUCCUGUUUCACUGUUUGACUAUUCUGACUACUCUUCACUACAAAUCAAUUUUCUCAUUAUACAGAAUUCGAAUUAUGUUAUCGUUUAUUUCAUUUGAAACUAGACUCAUUAAGGAGUCUAAGUAUAUAAAUUUUAUCUUAUAAUCAUCAUUGUAAAAUUUACAAUGAUUUUCUAAAGACAGAACAGGGGAUUUCAAGGUCAUUUUGACUCUAUCUUACGCCACUUCAAAUAUCUCAUUAUCUACAAUUAUUUUUCUUACAAGGUUUCUUUUAUAAGAAACUAGACUCAUUAAGCUUUAAUUACAUAAUUUAUUCAGCUUCUAAUUCAAUUUCUAAACUUUAUGGUGAUUUUUCAAAAUCACGCUACUGUUGCUGUCCCAAGCAGAUUUAUUACAAUUUACUCUUUCACACAUUCCUUGCAUUCAAAUUAUCUAAACAUGUAUAUCAUGUCAUUCAAGAUCGAACUCAAAUAACAUAGGCAUUAAAAUGCUUCACUAACAGCUUUAGUUUCAUUGAAACGAAUAAAAUACAAAAUCAUAUUCACAUUUAAUUUUCCACGAUCGUAAUCACCUAAAAAUAAAUCAUAUACUUCCACAAAUCUUUC